AGAGUUUGAUCCUGGCUCAGGAUGAACGCUAGCUACAGGCUUAACACAUGCAAGUCGAGGGGCAUCAGGAAGAAAGCUUGCUUUCUUUGCUGGCGACCGGCGCACGGGUGAGUAACACGUAUCCAACCUGCCGAUGACUCGGGGAUAGCCUUUCGAAAGAAAGAUUAAUACCCGAUGGUAUAUCUGAAAGGCAUCUUUCAGCUAUUAAAGAAUUUCGGUCAUUGAUGGGGAUGCGUUCCAUUAGGUUGUUGGCGGGGUAACGGCCCACCAAGCCAUCGAUGGAUAGGGGUUCUGAGAGGAAGGUCCCCCACAUUGGAACUGAGACACGGUCCAAACUCCUACGGGAGGCAGCAGUGAGGAAUAUUGGUCAAUGGACGAGAGUCUGAACCAGCCAAGUAGCGUGAAGGAUGACUGCCCUAUGGGUUGUAAACUUCUUUUAUACGGGAAUAAAGUUAGGCACGUGUGCCUUUUUGUAUGUACCGUAUGAAUAAGGAUCGGCUAACUCCGUGCCAGCAGCCGCGGUAAUACGGAGGAUCCGAGCGUUAUCCGGAUUUAUUGGGUUUAAAGGGAGCGUAGGCGGAUGCUUAAGUCAGUUGUGAAAGUUUGCGGCUCAACCGUAAAAUUGCAGUUGAUACUGGGUGUCUUGAGUACAGUAGAGGCAGGCGGAAUUCGUGGUGUAGCGGUGAAAUGCUUAGAUAUCACGAAGAACUCCGAUUGCGAAGGCAGCUUGCUGGACUGUAACUGACGCUGAUGCUCGAAAGUGUGGGUAUCAAACAGGAUUAGAUACCCUGGUAGUCCACACAGUAAACGAUGAAUACUCGCUGUUUGCGAUAUACAGUAAGCGGCCAAGCGAAAGCGUUAAGUAUUCCACCUGGGGAGUACGCCGGCAACGGUGAAACUCAAAGGAAUUGACGGGGGCCCGCACAAGCGGAGGA
rnacentral:rRNA from 1 species